rnacentral:rRNA from 1 species
AGGACGAACGCUGGCGGCGUGCUUAACACAUGCAAGUCGAGCGGUAAGGCACUUCGGUGUACACGAGCGGCGAACGGGUGAGUAACACGUGAGUAAUCUGCCCUUCACUCUGGGAUAAGCACUCGAAAGGGUGUCUAAUACCGGAUACGACACAGGUUCGCAUGAGUUCUGUGUGGAAACUUUUCGUGGGUGGGGAUGUGCUCGCGGCCUAUCAGCUUGUUGGUGGGGUAAUGGCCUACCAAGGCUUCGGACGGGUAGCCGGCU